rnacentral:rRNA from 1 species
UACGUAGGGGGCUAGCGUUGUCCGGAAUCAUUGGGCGUAAAGCGCGUGUAGGCGGUUCGGUAAGUCCGCUGUGAAAGUCGGGGGGCUCAACCCUCGAAUGCCGGUGGAUACUGUCGGGCUAGAGUGCGGAAGAGGCGAGUGGAAUUCCUGGUGUAGCGGUGAAAUGCGCAGAUAUCAGGAGGAACACCAAUUGCGAAGGCAGCUCGCUGGGACGCUACUGACGCUGAGACGCGAAAGCGUGGGGAGCAAACAGG